AGGAUUUAUAACAAAGAGGGGAAAAAUUUGGAACUAUAAAACAAUACUUUGCAAAUCGUACCGAUUUGAAAUCGUACGAUUUGCAGAACAUGCCUGAUAUUUUUAAAUUACAUUUAU